rnacentral:rRNA from 1 species
CCUACGGGUGGCAGCAGUGGGGAAUAUUGCGCAAUGGGCGAAAGCCUGACGCAGCGACGCCGCGUGAGGGAUGAAGGUCUUCGGAUCGUAAACCUCUGUCAGCAGGGAAGAACGGUCACUGUGUUAAUCAGCAGUUAAUUGACGGUACCUGCAAAGGAAGCACCGGCUAACUCCGUGCCAGCAGCCGCGGUAAUACGGAGGGUGCGAGCGUGAAUCGGAAUUACUGGGCGUAAAGCGCUCGUAGGCGGUAUGGCAAGUCAAGGGUGAAGUCCCCGCGCUGAACGUGGGAACGGCCUUGUAGACUGGCAAACUAGAGUGUGUGAGGGGUAAGUGGAAUUCCAGGUGUAGGAGUGAAAUCCGUAGAUAUCUGGAGGAACAUCAGUGGCGAAGGCGACUAUCUGGCACAUAACUGACGCUGAGGAGCGAAAGCGUGGGUAGCAAACAGGAUUAGAUACCCGUGUAGUC